rnacentral:rRNA from 1 species
AUUGAACGCUAGCGGGAUGCUUUACACAUGCAAGUCGAACGGCAGCGCGGACUUCGGUCUGGCGGCGAGUGGCGCACGGGUGAGUAAUGUAUCGGAACGUGCCCAGUAGCGGGGGAUAACUACGAGAAAGUGUAGCUAAUACCGCAUACGCCCUACGGGGGAAAGCCGGGGAUCGUAAGACCUUGCAAUAUUGGAGCGGCCGAUCACGCAAUGGCGAGUUGGUGAGGUAACGGCGCACCAAGGCAAAGAUCCGUAGCUGGUUUGAGAGGACGACCAGCCACACUGGAGAUGAGACACCGCGCCAACUCCAACGAAGGGCAGCAGCGGAAAAUUUUGAACAAUGGGCGCAACCCGGACCCACCCAUCCCGCGUGAGCGAUGAAAGCCAUCGGGUUGGAAAGCACUUUUGGCAGGACAGAAACAUCGCGAGCUACAUCCCCGUGGAAAUGGCGGGACCUGCAGAAUAAGCACCGGCUGACUACGG